AUAUAAUAUCUGUAAAAUAAUUUAUGCACAUUGGUAGGUUAAGGCUAUCAUCAGUUAUGUGGAUUUGUCCAAUAUCCGAUGACGGUGCCAGCGAGUCUGGAAACCUAGCCUGAAAGGGUUGGGCAAACUAUUUCACCACCAUCGUGACUUGGAAUUAUUCCCCGCGAACCGGGAAUUCCUGGUAAGUGCAAGUCAUAAGCUUGCACUGAUUACGUCCCUGCUCUUUGUACACACCACCCGUUGCUACUACCGAUCGAAUGGUUUAGUGAGGUCGUUCUAUUAGUGUCGUUGUAGUGGUUUUGCCGCUCGACCGAUGCUGAGAAGAUGACCUAAUUUGACUAUUUAGAGGAAGUAAAAGUUGUAACAAGGUUUCCGUAGGUGAACCUGCGGAAG
rfam:Schistosoma haematobium scaffold218_14, whole genome shotgun sequence.